GACGAACGCUGGCGGCGUGCUUAACACAUGCAAGUCGAACGGAAAGGUCCUGCUUUUGUGGGGUGCUCGAGUGGCGAACGGGUGAGUAACACGUGAGUAACCUGCCCUUGACUUUGGGAUAACUUCAGGAAACUGGGGCUAAUACCGGAUAGGAGCUCCUGCUGCAUGGUGUGGUUUGGAAAGUUUCGGCGGUUGGGGAUGGUCUCGCGGCUUAUCAGCUUGUUGGUGGGGUAGUGGCUUGCCAAGGCUUUGACGGGUAGCCGGCCUGAGAGGGUGACCGGCCACAUUGGGACUGAGAUGCGGCACAGACUGCUAAGGGAGGCAGCAGUGGGGAAUAUUGCACAAUGGGCGGAAGCCGGAUGCAGCAACGCCGCGUGCGGGAUGACGGCCUUAGGGUUGUAAACCGCUUUCGCCUGUGACGAAGCGUGAGUGACGGUAAUGGGUAAAGAAGCACCGGCUAACUACGUG
rnacentral:rRNA from 1 species